GGCUAUAGGCUGAUCUUUUUUUUUGGACGUUAAAUAAUGUUCGCGAAUUGGUUAAUUAUUUAAGUUAGUCGCAGUAAACUAGCAGUUACAGGGGUUGGUACGAAUCUGAUCUUUGGGUUGUAAGUUAACACCACUGAAGGAAUCUUCUAAUGGGCUCUGGUUAUCUUUUGGACGGUAAAUAUUUUGCGCAAAUUUAGGCAAUCAUCUGUGUUAGUCUCAGUAAACUAGCAAUUGCAGGGGUUGGUAUGUAUGCUACGAAUCUGAUCUUAGGGUUGUGAGUGAACAUCGGUGAACGACUCUUGUAUUGGGCUAUAGGCUGAUGUUUUUUUGCACGAUAAAUAUUUGAUGCCAAUUCGUUUAUUAUUCAUGGAAGGUAAUCUGAGUAUGCUAGCAAUUGCAGGGCGAGUGACGUAUGCUACGAAUCUGAGCUUUUUAGGGUUGUGAGUGAAUACGAGUGUAGGGAUCUUCUAAUGGGCUUUAUAGUGAUGUGUUUUUCCACACUAAAUAUUUGGUGCGAAUUCGUUAAUUAUUCAUGAAAGUUAGUCCCAGUAUACUAGCAAUUGCAGCGCGAGUGACGUAUGCUACGAAUUAAAGGUUUUUAGUGCUCUGAGUGAACACCACUGAAUGGAUCUUCUAAUGGACUAUAGGGUGAUCUUUCUCUGCCACGGUAUAUGAUUUGCGCAACGUAGUUCUUUAGUCACGUAAGUUAGUCUCACUAAACUAGCAAUUGCAGGGCGAGUGAUCUAUACUACGAAUUUGAGCUCUUUCGAAGAGUGAAUGCACUACAGUGAACGGGUGUUCUAAUGGGCUAAAGGUUUACGUUUUUUUGCCUGUUAAAAAAAUUUGCGCGAAUUCUUUUAUCAAUCAUGAAAGUUAUUCUCAGUGUUCGUGCAUUUGCAGAGGUUGUGAUGUAUGCGUGCGACUUGAAUUUUUCAGAAAAUUGAGCGAAUAGGAAGGCGCUGAAGUUGUAAGAGGCGAUGGGUGAUGUUUUUUUCACGAUUACUAAUUUGCACGAAAUCGUUUAUUGAUCUUGCAAGUUAGUGUCAAUGUACAUGUAUAUGUUCAGAUAGCAAUGUUUGGGUGGAAUUUGAGCUUUUCAGAGAAUUGUGCGAAUUGGAGGCUGCUGAGGUUCAAACGAGCCGUAGGCUGAUGGUUUUUCUGCGAUAACUAAUUUGAGUAAAUUCGUUUAUCAAUCAUGUAAGUUAGUUUCAGUAUUCUUGUAUUUGCAGGGAGAGUGAUGUAUGCGUAUAAUUUGACCUUUUCCGAUGAGUGAGCAGGACGACGCGGAGGUUCCGACGUGCUAAGGGCUGAUGUUUUUUCUGCGUUAACUGAUUUGCGAAAUAUCGUUUAUCAGUAAUGUAGGUUAAUAUCAGUACAUGUGUAUUUCAGAAGGAGUGGUGUAAGCGUGGAAUUCAAACUUUUCUGAGAAUUGAGUUAGAAGGUAUGCACCGAUGGUCUAACGGCUUUUAGGGUGACAUUUCUUCCGCGAUAACUAAUUCACGCAAAUUCUUUAAUUAAUCAUGUAUGUUACUGUCAGUAUACGUGCGUUUGCAACGGCAGUGGUGUAUGCGUCGAGUUCUAGCUUUUCAGACGUCUGAGCACGACUGGGCUGAAGGUCGAACAAAAUAUAGGUGUAUAUUUUUUCCCGAUAACUAAUUUGCGCAAAUCUGUGCAUUAAUCAUGUAAGGUAAUAUAUACGAUUAAGGUAAAUUACUCGUAUACGUUGAUUGGUAUCCCAUUAAAAAAACUUGGCGGUGUCUGAGAACAAGGUGGAGCUUCAUUAUGACCAGCAGAUAAGUUAGCCAGUGCCUCUAGUGAUCAUAUUUUUUAUUCGUUCUUCUCGUGUACUCACGUUGUGCUAUGUUUUGUUCUGUCCAUCACUGUGGUGACCUGCUUCCACGAGGUGUCCCUGACCCUGUUUUGUGCACCCAUCUGUCGGACAAGGAUGACGUCAGCGUUUCACUCUUCGUCACCAGGUCAAGAGCAGCGAGAGCAGCGUGCUUACCGGAAGUGGCGAGGAUGUUCCUACCACGAGCUUCGAACGACAGUCCCCCGAGCAGGAGCAACUUGCACCGUGGCCCGCUGCACACUCGGUGACCCAGGCUGGAGCGGUCCUUCUCCAACGUCACGUCUCGAAUCUGCGUCAAAGUGGCCACAUUUGUUGUCACGACGACGUGACAUGAUUGCCCACGAUUCUGGUAGACGCGUGUUUACGCGCACGAAAAGAAAAAGACUGGAAGCACCGCUGGCCAUAAGACCACAAGACGACAGUGACGACGUGUAACGCCCAUGACGUGCACCACGACUCGCAUGUCACAUGCUGCGAGUCGAAGUAAGUUUUGGCAGAGGCACAUAGGGAGUGCUUGGGGAGAGGGAGGAGGUGUCAUCGAAGUAGAGCACCGAUAGGACCGCGGCUUACCUCUGUAUCCAGUUGGUAAAGGCACAGGGAAGGCAAGGAGUAGAUUGUUGGUUUAACCCCGGGGCAGGGAUCAAUAGCUUAUAUAACGGAAAACUUCGCACGUUUUAGGAAAGUGGCUCUAAGCAUGAAGCGAAUGCCCUACCAUCUUCUGCGUACGAACGCACUUAUGCUGUCGUUGUCCUUCGCUAUACGUUGCUUCUUCUCCUAACGUGACGUAGCCUAACCUGAUGCUAACCUGCUUUAAUUACCCGGUCGCUAGAGAUUGUGUGUUCUGGCGCUGGCCUAAGGGUGGAAAUAUAUUCAUCAAACAUAAAAUAUUAGCGCAUGAAGGCAGGCUGCAUCACCGUUACGAAGGCCUGGAGUGGGAAGAGGGAGGGAGACAUAGCAAAUUUCCACGCUGCCACCGCCGAAGCACCAAUUGGCUUCUUUUGCACGUUGCUGUCGGCGCAAACUAAUAAACGUGUAACGUUCUUCGCAACACUUACUACCAACUGCGUUCGUAGACGAAAGAUGGUGGGGCGGCAUCGAUCUAUUGUAAAACUCGCAAUUUGGGUGUGGUUACUAUCGGCUGGUCCAGCUGGUGUAGCGAAGUCUGCCAGCUACAGCUACAUUGUCCAGCCUGAAUUGGCUAGCAUGGAGCGGCACUGCGCACAUGUGGUUUGUCCUUGAGUUUCGCGUAGCCGGAGUUGAAAGUAAUUGAAAUUACUGAGACCUGAGGGCUACAACACUACUAAACAGUGUGGUCUGUUUCGCAUUCCUACACAAGCGCACGCGGCCGAUGGUUUGCCUGUGUUCGUAAUUUCUCCGACGUUCGAAAUGAAGGUCUUCGCUUCAGCCUGUUUAUUAAACUGCCACGAUGUUUACACAGUAGCGCGAGGAUGAACCGUACUCAAACACCCUUUUUGAUGUCGGCUAUUGGCCUCAUAUGGGACUCUUCUAUUUGACGAAGUAGGGCAGCCCGUAGAGGGAGAAGAACACUUCUGGUUGAAAGCAGCGUUUGAGAAAAGUGAUCUCGAGCUCCGUUUUCGAAUCCCGCUUUGCCAGACAGCAAAAUUUUGAGAUAUUCACACCCGUCUUCGCUAUCCGCAUACUGUCUUUUCACCAAGACACCAACGUGGUAUAGGAGCCUUUUAACCCUCUAAUGCCUAACGCACCUUCUGCAUACUGCGCUGUUUGAGUAAUGAAAGUUGGAAUUCUCGCAAGUGAAACACAAGCAACGAUAUUAGGCCGGAGGCCAGUGUAAUGUGUGAAUAGCUUAGGGAUCCAAUUACUAACCACAAUGUUGUCUCUACUCAUACAUUUUGUUAUGUUUAGCACAAAUGCAGCCUCCAUGUCAACAAAUAAAGUUGGAUAAAUUCAGUG